UACGAAGGGGGCUAGCGUUGCUCGGAAUUACUGGGCGUAAAGGGCGCGUAGGCGGAUCGUUAAGUUGGGGGUGAAAGCCCGGGGCUCAACCUCGGAAUUGCCUUCAAUACUGGCGAUCUUGAGUAUGGGAGAGGUGUGUGGAACUCCGAGUGUAGAGGUGAAAUUCGUAGAUAUUCGGAAGAACACCAGUGGCGAAGGCGACACACUGGCCCAUUACUGACGCUGAGGCGCGAAAGCGUGGGGAGCAAACAGG
rnacentral:rRNA from 1 species